CCUACGGGAGGCAGCAGUAGGGAAUCUUUCACAAUGGGCGAAAGCCUGAUGGAGCCACGCCGCGUGCAGGAUGAAGGCCUUCGGGUUGUAAACUGCUUUUAUAAGCGAGAAAUAUGAUGGUAACUUAUGAAUAAGGAUCGGCUAACUACGUGCCAGCAGCCGCGGUCAUACGUAGGAUCCGAGCAUUAUCCGGAGUGACUGGGUGUAAAGAGUUGCGUAGGUGGCAUAAUAAGUAGCUAGUGAAAUCUGGUGGCUCAACCAUUCAGACUAUUAGCUAAACUGUUAAGCUCGAGACCGUGAGAGGUAACUGGAAUGCCUAGUGUAGGAGUGAAAUCCGUAGAUAUUAGAAGGAACACCAAUAGCGUAGGCAGGUUGCUGGGACGGUUCUGACACUAAGGCACGAAAGCGUAGGGAGCAAACGGGAUUAGAUACCCUAGUAGUC
rnacentral:rRNA from 1 species